UAAUAAUUUUUUCUGGGUACAUGAUACCAUACAGCAUCCAUAUCAAACUUGCACAGGCCGCACUAACAUUAAACUUUCAUAUCAAGGCGGGGGCCUCAAAUAUUUGAGACCCCUGUUCUAUGGCACCAAGCGAGGGAUCCGGACCAGGAAAUGUGACCUUUUUGCACUUUUUUUUAACCUUCAAGUUGAAACAAUAAAGACAAGUCGAGUCUUUCUUGGCAGAGAGUGAAAAGAUUCUCCUGCUAUGCGUUGGGGUCACUGAGAGUCUAAGCAGACAAACACAAAGACACUUUUUGGUCAUGUUGCUUUUCGGUGAAAACACAUUCCGAGCUGUUUGCGGUGCAUCAGAUGGAUUGCAAAGACAACAAGCCAAACAAAACUGGAAUAACUCAAAGUCAAACCAUAUGAAAACAUGAUAAAUUGAAAUAAAAAUAUCAUAAACUGAACGGAGAUGAGUUGGAAUCACCAUGAAAGACCUCAAACGCGUUAUGAGGACAUGGUGAUAUCUCUCUUCAUAGUUCUGUCACUGGCAUUUUCAUCAAUUCAAGGGGACCUAGCCAAAACAAAUGUGAUUUCAAAUCCAAAACUGCUGAGGUCAAACACAUAACAGAAGUCAUGUUGACGGACUUUACUGUUGUUAAGGUCUCGUGUGGUUUAUUUUGGACGCAGUUUUAAAAAUCCCACAGAACUGAAAUGCAUCACAAAAAAAACAACAACACACAACCACGUGACAACGCUCAUUUCUCUGAUUGGUUAUCAAAAAUGUAAACAGGAAAAAUGUUCGCUACGUGAGACUAGUGUAUAAAACUAAUCUCUUAAUUUUCUCUUCAGGACACGGCCAAAAGAAGACGUCUGACAUUAAGUUAACACAACUCAGAACUCCAUAUUGCGAAACUGCAGUGGCCCGUACGCAAACAUCGAUGAUGAAAAGCAGUGGAGGCCUGACAGCUCUUGAGUGAAUUUCCACACGAUGUACCAAAGCUGCAGCUGCACUGCACACACAAGGUCAUGACCCCCAGAAAGACAUGACGGGAAUCCGCCCUGCUGAUGUCACACUCUUGGAAGGUGGAAGCAAUGAAGGCUAAAGCAGAGACGAGGUGCAUCAGAGGACUGCUGUAGUCUGACGACACAGGUGGUGGCCACUGCAGGACGUUUCUCAGCAACACCAGCAGAUGCCUGCAUCCUGAACGUGUGCCAUUGUGACACUUUAACAGCUGAAGCCAGACAUUACAAGACGAUAAGAAGACAUCAGACCUAAGCGACCACAUUAGCCGACAUAAACAGACCUCAAACAUGGUAAUGGUAAUGGUUUUAUUUCAUUUGAACAUGCAUCAGAUUACAAUUGAGUGCAUCCCAUAAUCAAUUCACAGUUCCACAUGUCCAAAAGGAGUAGGAAGAAGCAAAGCUUAUUAAAUCCUACCCCUCCAUCUGGUACUUUUACAAUCAGUAACUGUUACAUUUGUUCACUUCCUGCUUUCCAUAAUACAGUUUAAGGUUUUUUUUGUUUUUUUUUUAAAUAAUGCACCUCAUACCGAAGUACAAGGUGAUAUGAGCAUCCAAUGCCAUAAUGGGUACCAUAGUAAGUGGCAAUAUAGUGAUAUAUAUAGCACAUCAUGACUGGUUCAAGACUCUUCAUCCUUGUAUUUAGCAAACAUCAACUGCUUGUAUUGUUUCUUGAAUUGGCUCAUCGUUGUGCAUUGUUUGAUUUCCUUACUCAAUCCAUUCCAUAGUUUGAUUCCACAUACUGAAAUGCUAUGGCUAGCAUAACGUAGUCCUAGCAUAGAAGUGUUUCAAAUGUACUUCUUCCCUGAGAUCAUAUUUCUCCUCUCUUGUAGAGAAGUAUUGUAUGACAUUUUUAGCUAAU